rnacentral:rRNA from 2 species
GUUAUAUGGUCAAGUGACUAAGCGCAUACGGUGGAUGCCUUGGCAGUCAGAGGCGAUGAAGGACGUUGUAGCUUGCGAUAAGCUUCGGGGAGGUAGCAAACAACCUUUGAUCCGGAGAUUUCCGAAUGGGGCAACCCAUCCAGCUUGCUGGAUAUCCUGCACUGAAUCCAUAGGUGUAGGAGGCGAACGUGGGGAACUGAAACAUCUAAGUACCCAUAGGAACAGAAAUCAAUUGAGAUUCCGUCAGUAGCGGCGAGCGAAAGCGGAUUAGCCCUUAAGUCUAUUUAGUGUUAGUGGAACACUCUGGAAAGUGUGGCCAUAGUGGGUGAUAGCCCCGUACACGAAAGUGCUUUAUAGAUGAAAACGAGUAGGUCGGGACACGUGUUAUCCUGAUUGAAGAUGGGGGGACCAUCCUCCAAGGCUAAAUACUCCUGACUGACCGAUAGUGAACCAGUACCGUGAGGGAAAGGCGAAAAGAACCCCGGAGAGGGGAGUGAAAUAGAACCUGAAACCGUAUGCGUACAAGCAGUGGGAGCCCUUCGGGGUGACUGCGUACCUUUUGUAUAAUGGGUCAGCGACUUACAUUUAGUAGCAAGGUUAACCGUUUAGGGGAGCCGUAGGGAAACCGAGUCUUAAUAGGGCGUCUUAGUUGCUAGGUGUAGACCCGAAACCCGGCGAUCUACCCAUGGGCAGGUUGAAGGUGCCGUAACAGGCACUGGAGGACCGAACCGGGAUCUGUUGAAAAAGAUUCGGAUGACUUGUGGGUCGGAGUGAAAGGCUAAUCAAGCCGGGAGAUAGCUGGUUCUCCUCGAAAGCUAUUUAGGUAGCGCCUCGGAUUAAUACCUACGGGGGUAGAGCACUGUUUGGGCUAGGGGGUCAUCCCGACUUACCAACCCCAUGCAAACUCCGAAUACCGUAGAGUACUGUCCGGGAGACACACGGCGGGUGCUAACGUUCGUCGUGGAAAGGGAAACAACCCAGACCGCCAGCUAAGGUCCCCAAGUACUAGUUAAGUGGGAAACGAUGUGGGAAGGCAUAGACAGCUAGGAGGUUGGCUUAGAAGCAGCCAUCCUUUAAAGAAAGCGUAAUAGCUCACUAGUCGAGUCGGCCUGCGCGGAAGAUGUAACGGGGCUUAAACUAGUCACCGAAGCUGCGGGUGCAGAUUUAUCUGCGCGGUAGAGGAGCGUUCUGUAAGCCGUUGAAGGUGAAUCGAAAGGUUUGCUGGAGGUAUCAGAAGUGCGAAUGCUGACAUGAGUAACGAUAAGGGGAGUGAAAAACUCCCCCGCCGAAAGACCAAGGGUUCCUGUCCAACGCUAAUCGGGGCAGGGUGAGUCGACCCCUAAGGCGAGGCUGAGAAGCGUAGUCGAUGGGAAACGGGUUAAUAUUCCCGUACUUGCAAUAACUGCGAUGGAGAGACGGAGAAGGCUAGGCGUACCGGGCGUUGGUUGUCCCGGGGAAAGUGCGUAGGCUGAGGUGUUAGGCAAAUCCGGCACCUUAAGGCUGAGACACGAGACCACUGCCCAUGUGGCGGGAAGUCGUCGAUGCCCUGCUUCCAGGAAAUACCUUCUAAGCUUCAGGUUAUUGCGAAUCGUACCCCAAACCGACACAGGUGGUCGGGUAGAGAAUACCAAGGCGCUUGAGAGAACUCGGGUGAAGGAACUAGGCAAAAUGGUGCCGUAACUUCGGGAGAAGGCACGCUGCUGUUGGUGAAGGACUUGCUCCGUAAGCUGACGGCAGUCGCAGAUACUAGGUCCCUGCAACUGUUUAUUAAAAACACAGCACUCUGCAAACACGAAAGUGGACGUAUAGGGUGUGACGCCUGCCCGGUGCCGGAAGGUUAAUUGAUGGGGUUAUCUUCGGAGAAGCUCUUGAUCGAAGCCCCGGUAAACGGCGGCCGUAACUAUAACGGUCCUAAGGUAGCGAAAUUCCUUGUCGGGUAAGUUCCGACCUGCACGAAUGGCGUAAUGAUGGGGACGCUGUCUCCACCCGAGACUCAGUGAAAUUGAAAUCGCUGUGAAGAUGCAGUGUACCCGCGGCUAGACGGAAAGACCCCGUGAACCUUUACUAUAGCUUCACACUGGACUCUGACCUUACUUGUGUAGGAUAGCUGGGAGACUUUGAAGCGGUGACGCCAGUCAUCGUGGAGUCAACCUUGAAAUACCAGCCUGGUAAUGUUGGGGUUCUAACUUAGAUCCAUUAUCUGGAUUGAGGACAGUGUGUGGUGGGUAGUUUGACUGGGGCGGUCUCCUCCCAAAGAGUAACGGAGGAGUGCGAAGGUGCCCUCAGCGCGGUCGGACAUCGCGCAAUGAGUAUAAUGGCAAAAGGGCGCUUGACUGUGAGACCUACAAGUCGAGCAGGUGCGAAAGCAGGUCAUAGUGAUCCGGUGGUUCUGUAUGGAAGGGCCAUCGCUCAACGGAUAAAAGGUACUCCGGGGAUAACAGGCUGAUACCGCCCAAGAGUUCAUAUCGACGGCGGUGUUUGGCACCUCGAUGUCGGCUCAUCACAUCCUGGGGCUGAAGCCGGUCCCAAGGGUAUGGCUGUUCGCCAUUUAAAGUGGUACGCGAGCUGGGUUUAGAACGUCGUGAGACAGUUCGGUCCCUAUCUGCCGUGGGCGUUGGAGAUUUGAGGAGAGUUGUUCCUAGUACGAGAGGACCGGAAUGAACGAACCUCUGGUGUUCGGGUUGUCACGCCAGUGGCAUUGCCCGGUAGCUAUGUUCGGACAGGAUAACCGCUGAAAGCAUCUAAGCGGGAAGCCCCCUUCAAGAUGAGAUCUCCCUGAGGACUUGAUCCUCCUAAAGGACCGUCGAAGACUACGACGUUGAUAGGCUGGGUGUGGAAGCGUUGUGAGGCGUUAAGCUAACCAGUACUAAUUGUCCGUGAGGCUUGACCAUAUAACCCUA